rnacentral:rRNA from 1 species
UACAGAGGGUGCAAGCGUUAAUCGGAAUUACUGGGCGUAAAGGGUGCGUAGGUGGUUUAAUAAGUUGGGUGUGAAAGUCCCGAGCUUAGCUUGGGGAUUGCGCUUAAUACUGUUGAGCUAGAGUACUGUAGAGGAAGGUGGAAUUUCCAGUGUAGCGGUGAAAUGCGUAGAUAUUGGAAGGAACAUCAGUGGCGAAGGCGACUUUCUGGACAGAUACUGACACUGAGGCACGAAAGCAUGGGGAGCAAACAGG